GUUCUCGUGGCCUAGUGGUUAGGGUGCCUGUCUUACAUAAUCAAUGAAUAUGGAGAGCACAGUAGAUCCCCGGUUCGAUCCCGGGCGAGAACA